rnacentral:rRNA from 1 species
UACAGAGACCUCAAGCGUUAUCCGGAAUCAUUGGGCGUAAAGCGUACCGAUAGGUGGUCAAGAAAGUCAGAGGUGAAAUCUCAAGGCUCAACUUUGAGACUGUCCUUUGAAACUUCUCGACUAGAGGGGCAAAGAGGAAGCUAGAACGAACGGUGUAGUAGUGAAAUGCGUUGAUAUCGUGAGGAAGGCCAGUGGCGAAGGCGAGUCUCUGGACAGUUCCUGACGCUGAGGCACGAAGGCCAGGGGAGCAAACGGG